rnacentral:rRNA from 1 species
GACGAACGCUGGCGGCGUGCCUAAUACAUGCAAGUUGAGCGAUGAAGACUGGUGCUUGCACCAAUUUGAAGAGCAGCGAACGGGUGAGUAACGCGUGGGGAAUCUGCCUUUGAGCGGGGGACAACAUUUGGAAACGAAUGCUAAUACCGCAUAACAACUUUAAACAUAAGUUUUAAGUUUGAAAGAUGCAAUUGCAUCACUCAAAGAUGAUCCCGCGUUGUAUUAGCUAGUUGGUGAGGUAAAGGCUCACCAAGGCGAUGAUACAUAGCCGACCUGAGAGGGUGAUCGGCCACAUUGGGACUGAGACACGGCCCAAACUCCUACGGGAGGCAGCAGUAGGGAAUCUUCGGCAAUGGACGAAAGUCUGACCGAGCAACGCCGCGUGAGUGAAGAAGGGUUUCGGAUCGUAAAACUCUGUUGGUAGAGAAGAACGUUGGUGAGAGUGGAAAGCUCAUCAAGUGACGGUAACUACCCAGAAAGGGACGGCUAACUACGUG